AUAGCAAGACCCCGUUUCUGAAAGAAAAUGUGUUAUGCUUUAAAUCUCUCUAGAACAAAGUCCCACCUUACCUGGAAGAACCAUGAAGAUCAAAUAGAAGGUCCUUGUGCAUGAAGCUCAGCGGAAAAAAGCUCGGAUGUAGGGGUUGGAGACAGUUGUCGCUCAAGGUGCAAACUCCGGGCUGGCGCUGUGUGUGAACAGAUAACAACAAAAUGUAUGUGGCUGAGUCCACUAGGAAGACGCUUCUGUACCACAUGGAGUUCUCUGAAUUAACUUCCAGAUAUAUUAAAAUUAUUAAUGGUUAUGCCCUCUACUUGGUGUGUAUCUACUCACUCUUUCGGAGUUCCAGAGACUUUGCUUCUAGGCCCCAAGGAGAGAUGUAUCUAUUUCUCUUACCAAUAGAUUCCUUGGGGAUAGUGCCUGACACACAACAGAGUCUUGCUAUGUUGCCCAGGCUAGUUUCCAACUCCUGGUUUCAAGAGAUCCUUCCGCCUUGGCCUCCCAAAGUGUUCGGAUUACAGGCGUGAGCCACUGCACCUGGCGAUCCUUAUUUUCUUUUGGUUGGGCAUGAUUAGUUGACUCCACACACGAAAAUGCAGCAUGUUCUAUUGUUUUGCACUUUGAGUUUUGUUUAACAAAGCAUCCUGCAACUCUUUGUAUAUCAUUAAAAAGAAAA
ensembl:lncRNA LINC00529 long intergenic non-protein coding RNA 529